UACGAAGGGGGCUAGCGUUGCUCGGAAUUACUGGGCGUAAAGGGCGCGUAGGCGGACAGUUAAGUCGGGGGUGAAAGCCCGGGGCUCAACCUCGGAAUUGCCUUCGAUACUGGCUGUCUUGAGUAUGGGAGAGGUGUGUGGAACUCCGAGUGUAGAGGUGAAAUUCGUAGAUAUUCGGGAGAACACCAGUGGCGAAGGCGACACACUGGCCCAUUACUGACGCUGAUGCGCGAAAGCGUGGGGAGCAAACAGG
rnacentral:rRNA from 1 species